UACGUAGGGUGCAGGCGUUAAUCGGAAUUACUGGGCGUAAAGCGCGCGUAGGUGGCCUCAUAAGUCCGCUGUGAAAGUCAAAGGCUCAACCUUUGAAAGCCGGUGGAUACUGUGAGGCUAGAGUACGGAAGAGGCGAGUGGAAUUCCUGGUGUAGCGGUGGAAUGCGCAGAUAUCAGGAGGAACACCAAUAGCGAAGGCAGCUCGCUGGGACGUUACUGACGCUGAGACGCGAAAGCGUGGGGAGCAAACAGG
rnacentral:rRNA from 1 species